rnacentral:rRNA from 1 species
CCUACGGGAGGCAGCAGUGAGGAAUAUUGGUCAAUGGACGCAAGUCUGAACCAGCCAUGCCGCGUGCAGGAAGACGGCUCUAUGAGUUGUAAACUGCUUUUGUACGAGGGUAAACGCAGAUACGCGUAUCUGUCUGAAAGUAUCGUACGAAUAAGGAUCGGCUAACUCCGUGCCAGCAGCCGCGGUAAUACGGAGGAUUCAAGCGUUAUCCGGAUUUAUUGGGUUUAAAGGGUGCGUAGGCGGUCGGAUAAGUUAGAGGUGAAAUCCCGAGGCUCAACUUCGGAAUUGCCUCUGAUACUGUUCGGCUAGAGAGUAGUUGCGGUAGGCGGAAUGUAUGGUGUAGCGGUGAAAUGCUUAGAGAUCAUACAGAACACCGAUUGCGAAGGCAGCUUACCAAGCUACUUCUGACGCUGAGGUGCGAAAGCGUGGGUAGCAAACAGGAUUAGAUACCCCAGUAGUC